GAAGGAUGAGGGCUUUUAUUACUUCGUAAUGGUUAUAAAAUCUGCAUCAGCCUUCCAUCUAGGAAGCUAAGAAGCUGUCAAUAGCAAUCAUCACCCUGCGAAUAGGAAGGAGGGGGAGGGAGACAAAGAGAGGAAGAGAGAGAGAGAGAGAAAGACAGACUGUGGAGUGCCUUUUCUCAGUUACUCUUUUUUUAGAUUUCAACAUGCCCUUUUGUGGUAAUUUGCUAUUUGAGUCCCAAGACUUUGAAUCACUUCCUAAUUCAAAUCCUAGAUUCUUCCCAAAAUGUCGUUCUUGACUCCCACCUCCUCCAGUGACACAGAAUUCAAAAUGAAAACAAAAUUUAAGCAGAUGGCAUGAGACGAGUAGCAGCAACCUGAUUGACAUCCUGGAACAUUUUAAUCCAAUGUGCACUCUGAUGCAAAAGAGAUGGAUUCAGAACAAAACAGAAAGCAUUCACAUUGAACAUCAGGGAGGUUUGCUUCCCUUCUUUAUUCUGUACUUCCCAAGUGCCAACUUCUGUGCACUGUACUAACUGGGCUCUCAAUAAAUGCUAUGAUUACUACUACUUUGGAAUUAAUAAAAAUGAGUAUCACCUUAAGUUUCCAAAGAUAGCUGGCUGACAGUGCUUGGAAGACUCACCCCCACCUCUCAUUUUCACACUUUCUGUCUUUCUUAGGAUGUUUGUUAACUCGCAUCUAGAGGAGCUAGGAUUCCACAUUUUAUUUGUCUUUCAGCACCAAGAGAAGAGAGCAGAUUGAAGAGGUAUUAGGCGGUCCAGUUUUAUUCAUCACAACUUCUCUCAGAGAGUGGCUUCUGCCAUUUUUUCAUUCCGUCUUCAAGUAGCCCCACCGAGGAAAAUGCCAGAGGCUUAUUGAAGUUUGCCUGCACCCUUCUCUUUAUCCAACAUAUCCUUUAAGGGAGGCUUAAGAAAAGGAGAUUGUGUCCUAUACAAGCAAGGAUACAAGGCUGCUCUGAUGCCACCAAGAUUGAUUGAAAAGACCCAGCUCUUCCUCCAAAAGCGAUACAAAUUCUACACAUUCUUGACAUUUCUCUGCUGAAUUUGAAGUCUAGACCAAGAGGUUUGUUGACCCUGCAAAUGGAAAGUAAGGCAGAGCCAGAAAACUAGGAACAACCUGAGAAUGAAGUAGCUGAUGCCUUCUCUUUUAUUGAAGGGGACACUGCCAACUAUGUUUAGAUCGUUACGGAGAGGGAUUCAGUGAAAUAAGAACUUCCGAGGUGAAAGCUGACUCCUGAGGCCCUGGAUGACAAUGGGGAUCUGACUUGUUGCAUGGCUGAAACUGAAGAGCUUCUCAGAUGAAGCAACUGAGGCACAGAGAAGUUAAGUGAUUUGCUCCAAGUCACACAGUAGACAAGUGGAGGAGCCGAGACAUCAACCCAGCUUCCAGGCUAUGUUCUCUCUACUUUUGGAAGAAUGAAAGCUCAUCAUGGAACUGCCUUGCUGAAGGACAAUAUCAGUCACAGAUGAUCUGGAAUAUGAAACUGAUUGGGAUGCCAGAAGAUACUUAGUGGACACAAUCCGGAUGAGCCAAGGAAGGAGAGGCCACCAAUAGCUUCUGGGAAAAGGAGGAAGGGGCAAAGAAAUGCUCUAUGGAUCCAGUUGAUAUUUAUAUUUGGAAAGUUCCUUCACUGAACCAUUAUUCAGGGAAUUGGAGAUAUGGAAAACCUACAUGAGAUAAUGCAACUGAAGAUGGAAUCUGAUUUAUAUAAGUAAGCAUGGCUAAGAAGAUAGUUGGGUGACAGAGUUUGCAAGAAGAAGCUGCUCUUCCUUUGAGAAUGGGAGAUUUUUCAUCUGUCCCAAUGGACAUGGACAGUCCAUAUAUUGCUAAUGGCUUGUCUCUUGAUCAUUCUUCCAUUAAAUCAUAUUGAGGUAGAUCCACCAUUCUGUGGGCAUGUUUGAAGCAAAAGCGCUCCUUAUCAUCCCCUGCUGAAGCUGCUGAGCUCCUCAAGAGGACACUGCUGAAGCUGCUGAGCUCCUCAAGAGGACACAGAUGAGCACCCGGAGAAUGGGAAAUUGUGCUUGUUUUGGGGGAUGUGAGCAGGCUCUAGAGGAAAGAAGAAUGAGUUUCUGCUUGCAGUUUAGCAGCUCAAGAAAACUGGAGCAGUUUGUGCCUCUUGCUGGCAAUACAGAAACAUUAUAAUUGUCUUUUAGCACCAGGGCUGUGGAAGAACCAGGCCCUGUAGCAUUGUGAUGGUGGCUUCUGUUUUGGCUGGAGAUGAAUAAGUGUAUAAAUGACCAACCUGGGCACUUGUCCUGGGACUAAAACCCCUGCAGAUAGGUGAUUAGAAACUUCAUUCAUAUUUAAGAAUAUGCUCCUAUCAACCACCAAGGGAGAAUCAUUCCCUAGAAUGGUCUAGAAUUUUGGGAACAUUUUAUGACCUAAAUGUGUAUUUAGCAGGGGCUAGUCUGCUGAUCCUUAUGGAUUUUCUUGACCUCCCAGUAGGUGAUUCAUGACAGGGUUAAUCACUUUGGUAAUGAUGCACAACUGGGCUUGUCUCCUGCUUUGCAGCUUUUGUUGAGGGGCAUUCAGGGAAUAGGGACCAUACAGAUAAUAAAAUGCACAAAAAACUG